UAAAUAGUAAUUAUGGUUCAGUGAUUUAUCACAGUUGGAUUUAUCUGGUUUUAUGAUUGUAAUAAAGGAUUUGUGAUUCUUGCAAAUUGGAAAUGGUUUUCUACCCCUCGUGGUAGCGAGUUUUAAAGGAAAAAGGUUUCCUUGUGGGAAACAGUUUUUAAAAAGGUUUUCUUGGUUUUCAUGGCUUAGUGUUUUAAAAAAUGAGUUUCCGGGUAGGAAACAUUUUAAACUGAUAGUUGUGCGCCGGAUUUAUGGAUAAUUCUGAAUGUGAAUGUGAAUGGUGUAUGAAUAUGUGAAUGUUUAUAUGUGUGGUUGUAUCAUGUAUCGUGAAUCUUGUAUUUUGUACGCCGUGCAAAUAUAGGGGAGACUCUAUUCGUGUGAACAGUGAAUUCCCUGUAUUUGUGGCGGAUCUGGCAUACCCUGGGGGUCAGGUUUUCAAAAAAAAA
rnacentral:lncRNA from 1 species